UAAGACGAACCGUCCAAACGUUAUUCGGAAUUACUGGGCUUAAAGGGUGCGUAGGCGGCGCGGAAAGUUGGGUGUGAAAUCCCUCGGCUCAACCGAGGAACUGCGCCCAAUACUACCGUGCUUGAGGGAGAUAGAGGUGAGCGGAACUUAGGGUGGAGCGGUGAAAUGCGUUGAUAUCCUAAGGAACACCGGUGGCGAAAGCGGCUCACUGGAUCUCUUCUGACGCUGAGGCACGAAAGCUAGGGUAGCGAACGGGAUUAGAUACCCCGGUAGUCCUAGCCGUAAACGAUGAGCACUGGAUUGGAGGGUCCUCCAUAGCCUUCCAGUCGCAACGAAAGCGUUAAGUGCUCCGCCUGGGGAGUAUGGUCGCAAGGCUG
rnacentral:rRNA from 1 species